CACCAGCAAUUUAUUCAUGACCUUACGCUACAACAUCUUUAGUUUUCCAGACAUAAUGAUGUCCUCCGGCAGAAUUCCUUUCCCCUCUGGGCGAUACUAAUUACUCCCUGCAGAUGUUGUUAUUGGUGCUAAUGAUAAAAUGCAGAAAAAAGAUCUACUAGAGAACUGGCAGUAUUCUCCGACUUUGUUAACCACCUCAGGACACCGCUGGUGAGAGAAUUCAAUGGAAAGCAAAUUACUUCUCAGAGAAACAUGGACGUGUAGGGCCAGAAGGGACUGGGGCCUUGAACCUGGGCCCAUGGAUCCCUGGGCAGAGCUCAGCCCAGGGCUGCCACCAGGCAGUGCACCUGAAUAACUGGAGACGUUAGCCAACAAAGCGCUAGCUCACAAAGGGACCUGCCCACAAAGCUCCCGACAGGGGGAAACUUCCAGCAUCGCUAAUUGGCUGGGGAGCUCUCUUUAAACCAGAACGAGGCAAAGGAAGUUGUCUGAGAAAUUAGAGGAAUCCCUGACUGGUUGCUGCCACGGACUCUGCCUCCUUACCUGACUCCAGAGCCCUGCCUUCCUGCUUGUUCCUAUCCUCCUUAUCCUAUCCCCAUCUGUUCGUGGUCCCUGCUUUCCUGCCUCACUCCAAGUCCCAGUUCCUACGUCCCACCCUUGAGACUGACUCCAUCUCUGACCUUUGGUGUGGCACCUGACUAACCCAUUAGACAUGGCUGCCCAUGCCCGAGUCACUACAGGUCAUGUAAUCCAGCCCGCUGUGCCGAGUCAGGACCAAGUAAACCCAGACCAUCCCUGACAUGUGUUUGCCUACCCUGUUCUUAAAAAACUCCAGUGAUGCUGUGUAGGUGAGAAGGUGCUUUUUAUGGCAAGAACUGAACAGCAGAGCGGGUGCUGGCUUUAGGCUGAGGUACAUCACCUUUUGAGCAGCCAGUGUAACAUGACUUCCUCUUCAAUCAUCCCACACUAAGUACAGCAAGCCUGUAGUACAAAAUGUGACAAUAUACUGGGCCAAACCCUUUCCUGGGUGAGUCUACUCACUGCAAUGGGCUCGCACCAGGGAUGAAUUUGGUCCAUCACAUUUUUCAGUGCUACGUAUUUAGGGUUCUACCAGUUUGAACUGGGCAAUUUAAUAUGCAUAUAUUGCAUUGUCUACUUAACAUAAUUCUGGUCACUGCUACUAUCUGAUCUGUGCAUGUUCAUUAAAAAAAAAAGACCAGG